rnacentral:rRNA from 1 species
GGACAACCUGCCCUCGGGAGGGGGAUAACCCCGGGAAACUGGGGCUAAACCCCCAUAGGGGAUGGAUACUGGAAUGUUCCAUCUCCGAAAGUCCGCAAGGAGCCCGAGGAUGGGUCUGCGGCGGAUUAGGUAGUUGGUGGGGUAACGGCCCACCAAGCCUAAGAUCCGUACGGGCCAUGGGAGUGGGAGCCCGGAGAUGGACCCUGAGACAAGGGUCCAGGCCCUACGGGGCGCAGCAGGCGCGAAACCUCCGCAAUGCGGGAAACCGCGACGGGGUCAGCCGGAGUGCCGAUGCUUGCAUCGGCUGUCGGGGAGCCUAAAAAGCUCUCCAAGCAAGGGCCGGGCAAGGCCGGUGGCAGCCGCCGCGGUAAUACCGGCGGCCCGAGUGGCGGUCACUAUUAUUGGGCUUAAAGCGUCCGUAGCCGGGUUGGUUAGUCCCCCGGGAAAUCUGGCCGCUCAACGGUCAGAAUUCCGGGAGAUACUGCCAGCCUAGGGACCGGGAGAGGCCGAGGGUAUUCCCGGAGUAGGGGUGAAAUCCUAUAAUCCCGGGAGGACCACCUGUGGCGAAGGCGCUCGGCUGGAACGGGUCCGACGGUGAGGGACGAAGGCCAGGGGAGCAAACCGGAUUAGAUACCCGGGUAGUCCUGGCUGUAAACGAUGCGGACUUUGUGUCGGACAAGCUAUGAGCUUGUCCGGUGCCGGAGGGAAACCGUU